GACGAACGCUGGCGGCGUGCUUAACACAUGCAAGUCGAACGGAAAGGCCCUGCUUUUGUGGGGUGCGCGAGUGGCGAACGGGUGAGUAACACGGGAGUAACCUGCUCUUGACUUUGGGAUAACUUCGGGAAACUGGGGCUAAUACCGGAUAGGAGCUCCUGCUGCAUGGGGGGGGUUGGAAAGUUUCGGCGGGUGGGGAUGGACUCGCGGCUUACCAGCUUGUGGGUGGGGUAGUGGCUUACCAAGGCUUUGCCGGGUAGCCGGCCUGGGGGGGUGACCGGCCCCAUUGGGCCUGGGUUCCGGCCCGGACUCCUACGGGAGGCGGCGGUGGGGAUUAUUGCACAAUGGGCGGAGGCCUGAUGCAGCACCGCCGCGUGCGGGAUGACGGCCUUCGGGUUGUAAACCGCUUUCGCCUGUGACGAGGCGUGAGUGACGGUAAUGGGUAAAGAAGCACCGGCUAACUACGUG
rnacentral:rRNA from 1 species